rnacentral:tRNA from 1 species
UCCUUGAUAGUCUAGUGGUCAGGAUAUCUGCUUGUCAUCGAAUUCGAUCGACUGCGCGCAGGGGACCUGGGUUCAAUUCCCAGUCAGGGAG